rnacentral:ncRNA from 20 species
GGUCAUGAGCGCCAGCGACAAGCCCCGGCUUGCUGGCCGGCAACCCUCCAACCGCGGUGGGGUGCCCCGGGUGAUGACCAGGUUGAGUGGUUGACGGAUUCCUCCGUCGGCCGCAAGGCAAGCGCGGGUC